ensembl:snoRNA
AUCGAGGCUGGAGUCACACUUGGGUAUCAGCUAUUGCCUUAGUGUGCGAGAGUCCUCGAAGAGUCACUGCGAACCUUAUCCAUGGGCUGUGGCCCUCAUGGCAUAGUCAGUCACCAGGUUAGUGACGUGC